rnacentral:rRNA from 1 species
CUACGGGUGGCACCAGCAAGGAAUAUUGUCCAAUGGGGGAAACCCUGAGACAGCAACGCCGCGUGAAGGAAGAAGGCCUUCGGGUUGUAAACUUCUGUUUUAAGAGAAGAAACAAAUGACGGUACCUUAAGAGGAAGCCCCGGCAAACUACGUGCCAGCAGCCGCGGUACACGUAGGGGGCAAGCGUUGUCCGGAAUCACUGGGCGUAAAGGGCGCGUAGGCGGUUUAUUAAGUUGAAUGUGAAAUCCCAGGGCUCAACCCUGGACCUGCAUUCAAAACUGGUAGACUUGAGUAUGGCAGAGGUAAGUGGAAUUCCUAGUGUAGCGGUGGAAUGCGUAGAUAUUAGGAGGAACACCAGUGGCGAAGGCGACUUACUGGGCCAAAACUGACGCUGAGGCGCGAAAGCGUGGGGAGCAAACAGGAUUAGAUACCCCAGUAGUC